GGAGCAUUCAUCAUCAAUGGAAUUCCUGCAGAGAAAAUCAGGAUAAAGGAAGUUGGAGACCAGACUACUGAAAUCCUUUGGCCACAGAACGUCAGGGAGUGGAGAUACUCGCUGCCAGAUUCAUGCGGAGACCAGGUUCUCCUCGGCACAGAAGUCAAAUUGCCACAUUGAAAUGGAAAGCCUGCGGUUAAUGAAGAACACAGAUCCAAAGUUAUUUUCAAAACUCCGGGCCACGCAGUCAGCUCUGUACUUUUCGCAGCUGGACUCCCUCUGCAGUCUGGGUCUGAUAAAAUAGGACUUUGUUUCAGACUAUCAAAUGACAUGUUCCAAACAUUUGGAAUAGAGUUAGUUCUUCUAAAAGGUGACAGAUUGAUAGACCAUGGAUAAAGCAGUGCAGCCUCUAGAUAUGUGUGUGUCAUGAGAAACAGAACCGGGCCUAUUCCAGUGACACAGAUACUGCCAAAAGUAGAGCGUGCCUGGAAGCAUCAUAAAUACCCGAGGAGUGGAAGCCAGCCUUUAAGAAGGUCAACCAGAAGCCCAUCCUGGAAAGGGUCGCCAAAGACAGAAGGUAUGAAUGGCCAAUUGCUUUAGCAUCGCCAGC